rnacentral:rRNA from 1 species
AUUGAACGCUGGCGGCAUGCCUUACACAUGCAAGUCGAACGGUAACAGGUUAAGCUGACGAGUGGCGAACGGGUGAGUAAUGUAUCGGAACGUGCCCAGUCGUGGGGGAUAACUGCUCGACAGAGCAGCUAAUACCGCAUACGACCCGAGGGUGAAAGCGGGCGAUCGCAAGACCUCGCGCUAUUGGAGCGGCCGAUAUCAGAUUAGGUAGUUGGUGGGGUAAAGGCCUACCAAGCCUACGAUCUGUAGCUGGUCUGAGAGGACGGCCAGCCACACUGGGACUGAGACACGGCCCAGACUCCUACGGGAGGCAGCAGUGGGGAAUUUUGGACAAUGGACGCAAGUCUGAUCCAGCCAUGCCGCGUGCGGGAAGAAGGCCUUCGGGUUGUAAACCGCUUUUGUCAGGGAAGAAAAGGGUGUUUCUAAUAAAGACGCCUCAUGACGGUACCUGAAGAAUAAGCACCGGCUAACUACGUGCCAGCCGCCGCAGUAACAC